rnacentral:snoRNA from 1 species
ACAAGGGGGCUGUCAGGUCAUUUCCUAUAGUCUCUUCUGACUUAAAAAGUGUAUUCUAAAGUGUUUGGUCAUCUCCGCUACCACCACGAUGAAUCUGAUCAUUAUUGUCUGACGUGAAGCUGACAGAGAGUAUGAUUCCCUUCCAUAUGCCUCUGUCAUUGAUGAUCGUUCUUUGCUUCUUCAUGGAGCAUUGAGGAAGAGAAUGUGAUCAGAGUGGU